UUGGAGGGCAAGUCUGGUGCCAGCAGCCGCGGUAAUUCCGGCCCCAAUAGCGUAUAUUAAAGUUGUUGCAGUUAAAAAGCUCGUAGUUGAAUUUCGGGGUUCUACCGUUGGUCGGGCUAUUGUCUGUACUGGCGUGUAGAAUUUCUACCUUCUGGGGAACUAUCAUGUUAUUAAUUUAGCGUGGUAGGAAACCAGGACCUUUACCUUGAAAAAAUUAGAGUGUUCAAAGCAGGCUUAUGUCUGAAUACAUUAGCAUGGAAUAAUAAAAUAGGACGGUGGUCCUGUUUUGUUGGUUUCUGAAUCACCGUAAUGAUUAAUAGGGAUAGUUGGGGGCAUUAGUAUUCAAUUGUCAGAGGUGAAAUUCUUGGAUUUAUUGAAGACUAACUACUGCGAAAGCAUUUGCCAAGGAUGUUUUCAUUAAUCAAGAACGAAAGUUAGGGGAUCGAAGACGAUCAGAUACCGUCGUAGUCUUAACCAUAAACUAUGCCGACUAGGGAUCGGACGAUGUUAACUUUUCUUGACUCGUUCGGCGCCUUACGGGAAA
rnacentral:rRNA from 1 species